rnacentral:rRNA from 1 species
UACGGGGGGGGCAAGCGUUGUUCGGAAUUACUGGGCGUAAAGGGCUCGUAGGUGGCCAACUAAGUCAGACGUGAAAUCCCUCGGCUUAACCGGGGAACUGCGUCUGAUACUGGAUGGCUUGAGUUUGGGAGAGGGAUGCGGAAUUCCAGGUGUAGCGGUGAAAUGCGUAGAUAUCUGGAGGAACACCGGUGGCGAAGGCGGCAUCCUGGACCAAUACUGACACUGAAAAGCGAAAGCCAGGGGAGCAAACGGG